UGACACAGUGAGUCGCGUCCAUUGGCUGUAAAACGUCUCCUCAGAGCAAGGAGAUGCCUGGAGAUAAAGUCAGGUUCUCUGGCCGCUCUCUGGACGGCGCCGGCAGCCCGUCCUCCCGGC
rnacentral:misc_RNA from 1 species